rnacentral:rRNA from 1 species
GACGAACGCUGGCGGCGUGCCUAAUACAUGCAAGUUGAGCGCUGAAGGUUGGUACUUGUACCAACUGGAUGAGCAGCGAACGGGUGAGUAACGCGUGGGGAAUCUGCCUUUGAGCGGGGGACAACAUUUGGAAACGAAUGCUAAUACCGCAUAAAAACUUUAAACACAAGUUUUAAGUUUGAAAGAUGCAAUUGCAUCACUCAAAGAUGAUCCCGCGUUGUAUUAGCUAGUUGGUGAGGUAAAGGCUCACCAAGGCGAUGAUACAUAGCCGACCUGAGAGGGUGAUCGGCAACAUUGGGACUGAGACACGGCCCAAACUCCUACGGGAGGCAGCAGUAGUGAAUCUUCGGCACUGGACGAAAGUCUGACCGAGCAACGCCGCGUGAGUGAAGAAGCUUUUCGGAUCGUAAAACUCUGUUGGUAGAGAAGAACGUUGGUGAGAGUGGAAAGCUCAUCAAGUGACGGUAACUACCCAGAAAGGGACGGCUAACUACGUG